rnacentral:rRNA from 1 species
AGUGGAUGGGGAGCAACCUAGUUGUGCGUGUGUAAAGGUAGUGCCAAGAAAAGCGAUGAUCAUGUUGAAAAUCAAUUCCCGGUACCCGAAACCGACACAGGUGGGCAAGUAGAGAAUACUAAGGGGCGCGAGGUAACUCUCUCCAAGGAACUCGGCAAAAUGACCCCGUAACUUAGGGAGAAGGGGUGCCACCGAGAGGUGGUCGCAGUGAAGAGGCCCAGGCGACUGUUUAGCAAAAACAUAGGUCUCUGCAAACUCGAAAGAGGAGGUAUAGGGGCUGACGCCUGCCCAGUGCCGGAAGGUUAAAGAAGUUGGUCAGUUUUAGGAUGAAGCUAGCGACUGAAGCCCCGGUGAACGGCGGCCGUAACUAUAACGGUCCUAAGGUAGCGAAAUUCCUUGUCAGGUAAGUUCCGACCCGCACGAAAGGCGUAACGAUCUGGGCGCUGUCUCGGAGAGAGGCUCGGCGAAAUAGGAUUGUCUGUGAAGAUACGGACUACCUGCAUUUGGACAGAAAGACCCUAUGAAGCUUUACUAUAGCUUGGAAUUGUGUUCGGGCUUCCUGUGCGCAGGAUAGGUGGGAGGCGUAGAAGGUAUUCUUGUGGGGAUACUGGAGCCAACGGUGAGAUACCACUCUCAGGAGGCUAGAAUUCUAACUUAAUUAAGGACAGUUUCAGGUGGGUAGUUUGACUGGGGCGGUCGCCUCCAAAAAGGUAACGGAGGCGUACAAAGGUUCCCUCAGACUGGUUGGAAAUCAGUCGAAGAGUGCAAAGGCAGAAGGGAGCUUGACUGCGAGAAGUACAGUUCGAGCAGGGUGGAAACACGGUCUUAGUGAUCCGACGGUGCUGUGUGGAAGGGCCGUCGCUCAACGGAUAAAAGUUACUCUAGGAUAACAGGCUGAUCUCCCCCAAGAGUUCACAUCGACGGGGAGGUUUGGCACCUCGAUGUCGGCUCAUCGCAACCUGGGGCGGAAGUACGUCCCAAGGGUUGGGCUGUUCGCCCAUUAAAGCGGUACGUGAGCUGGGUUCAGAACGUCGUGAGACAGUUCGGUCCAUAUCCGAUGUAGGCGUGAGAAUAUUGAGAGGAGCCUUCCUUAGUACGAGAGGACCGGGAAGGACGCACCGCUGGUGUACCUGUUAUGAUGCCAAUUGUAAACGCAGGGUAGCCAAGUGCGGAGAGGAUAACCGCUGAAAGCAUCUAAGUGGGAAGCCCACCUCAAGAUGAGUAUUCUGGUGUAAGGUCACGGGAAGACGACCCGUAAAUAGGCACGAGGUGGAAGUGCAGAGAUGUAUGAAGCCGAAGUGUACUAAUAGACCGUCGGCUUGAU